rnacentral:rRNA from 1 species
GACAGAGGUCUCAAGCGUUGUUCGGAUUCAUUGGGCGUAAAGGGUGCGUAGGCGGCGCGGUAAGUCGGGUGUGAAAUCUUGGAGCUUAACUCCGAAACUGCAUUCGAUACUGCCGUGCUUGAGGACUGGAGAGGAGACUGGAAUUUACGGUGUAGCGGUGAAAUGCGUAGAUAUCGUAAGGAAGACCAGUGGCGAAGGCGGGUAUCUGGACAGUUCCUGACGCUGAGGCACGAAGGCCAGGGGAGCAAACGGG